rnacentral:SRP_RNA from 1 species
GCCGAGCUCAGCAACGAGAGCUUAUAACUCAAGUGGGGGCAUUAAGGUGAUUGGACUUGGGCUUUGCCUACCUGGUCGGGCUUGUGGUGCACAUACUGACUCGCCCGGUCCAAGUUGGGAUUUGGGCCAUGUGUCAUGGGCGAAGGCCUGCGACACUUGGUUACUAGAGAGGAGGGCACCUCGUCAGGCUGGUUUCACAGAGCAGCGAAAACCUCCCUAUCUCGACAGUGGAAGGAUAACGAGAUAGGUGCUCUUUGAGCCCAUUAAGGCCAGAUGGGCCCAGCGCAAAGAACAAUCACUUUU